rnacentral:tRNA from 3 species
CGGGGUGUAGCGCAGAUGGAAGCGCGCCGCGUUUGGGACGCGGAGGUCGGCGGUUCAAGUCCGCCCACCCCGA